rnacentral:rRNA from 1 species
GCUUGUCUCAAAGAUUAAGCCAUGCACGUCUGAGAAUAAAGAGUUUUCUCUGAAUCUGCGAAUGGCUCAUUAUAUCAGUUAUAGUUUAUUUGAUACUUUUCGACUAUUGGAUAACCGUAGUAAUUCUAGAGCUAAUACAUGCGCCAAGUCCCGUCUCACGUCGGGAUGUAUUUAUUAGAUUUCAAUCAACACUUUUUGCUGACUCAUGAUAACUUAGCGGAUCGCAGAGGCCUCGCGCCGGCGACAAAUCAUUCAAGUUUCUGCCCUAUCAGCUUUCGAUGGUAGUGUAUUGGACUACCAUGGCAUUCACGGGUAACGGAGGAUUAGGGUUCGAUUCCGGAGAGGGAGCCUGAGAAAUGGCUACCACAUCCAAGGAAGGCAGCAGG